rnacentral:rRNA from 1 species
GAUGAACGCUGGCGGCGUGCCUAAUACAUGCAAGUCGAGCGAGUGGAUUAAGAGCUUGCUCUUAUGAAGUUAGCGGCGGACGGGUGAGUAACACGUGGGUAACCUGCCCAUAAGACUGGGAUAACUCCGGGAAACCGGGGCUAAUACCGGAUAACAUUUUGAACCGCAUGGUUCGAAAUUGCAGGGCGGCUGCGUCGGUCCCUGAUGGAUGGACCCGCGUCGCAUUAGCUAGUUGGUAAGGUAACGGCGCACCAAGGCAACGAUGCGUAGCCGACCUGAGAGGGUGAUCGGCCACACUGGGACUGAGACACGGCCCAGACGCCUACGGGAGGCAGCAGUAGGGAAUCGUCCGCAAUGGACGAAAGUCUGACGGAGCAACGCCGCGUGAGUGAUGAAGGCUUUCGGGUCGUAAAACUCUGUUGUUAGGGAAGAACAAGUGCUAGUUGAAUAAGCUGGCACCUUGACGGUACCUAACCAGAAAGCCACGGCUAACUACGUGCCAGCCGCCGCGGUAA